ACCUGGGCUUCGGCCCUGGGGAAAGCGGCGAACGGGUGAGUAUCACGUGGGUAACCUGCCCUCGGCACCGGGAUAGCCCGAGGAAACUCGGAUUAAUACCGGACAGCCUCAUGAGCUCUCGGGCGAAUGAGAAAAGGUGGCUUCGGCUUCCGGCUGAGGAUGGGCCCGCGGCCGAUUAGCUUGUUGGUGAGGUAAUGGCUCACCAAGGCUCCGAUCGGUAGCUGGUCUGAGAGGACGAUCAGCCACACUGGGACUGAGACACGGCCCAGACUCCUACGGGAGGCAGCAGUGGGGAAUCUUGCGCAAUGGGCGAAAGCCUGACGCAGCGACGCCGCGUGCGGGAAGAAGGCCUUCGGG
rnacentral:rRNA from 1 species